CAGCAGCCACGGUAAUACGUAGGUGGCAAGCGUUGUCCGGAAUUAUUGGGCGUAAAGGGCUCGCAGGCGGUUUCUUAAGUCUGAUGUGAAAGCCCCCGGCUCAACCGGGGAGGGUCAUUGGAAACUGGGAAACUUGAGUGCAGAAGAGGAGAGUGGAAUUCCACGUGUAGCGGUGAAAUGCGUAGAGAUGUGGAGGAACACCAGUGGCGAAGGCGACUCUCUGGUCUGUAACUGACGCUGAGGAGCGAAAGCGUGGGGAGCGAACAGGAUUAGAGACCCGAGUAGUCCCUGUCUCUUAUAC
rnacentral:rRNA from 1 species